GAAAUGCGAUAAGUAAUGUGAAUUGCAGAAUUCAGAGAAUCAUCGAAUCUUUGAACGCACAUUGCGCCCGCCAGUAUUCUGGCGGGCAUGCCUGUCCGAGCGUCAUUUCAACCAUCAAGCCCCCGGGCUUGUGUUGGGGACCUGCGGCUGCCCGCAGGCCCUGAAAACCAGUGGCGGGCUCGCUGUCACACCGAGCGUAGUAGCAAUCACCUCGCUCAGGGCGUGCUGCGGGUUCCGGCCGUUAAACAGCCUUACAAAACCCAAGGUUGACCUCGGAUCAGGUAGGAAGACCCGCUGAACUUAAGC
rnacentral:misc_RNA from 1 species